GCACUGCUGAAGAAUCCCAAACAGGACGAAACAGCUGUCCAGUGC
rnacentral:hammerhead_ribozyme from 1 species